rnacentral:tRNA from 2 species
GGUAGCGUGGCCGAGCGGUCUAAGGCGCUGGAUUUAGGCUCCAGUCUCUUCGGAGGCGAGGGUUCGAAUCCCUCCGCUGCCA